ensembl:lncRNA
GCUAGAACAACUUCUCAGGGGGGUAAGUCUGGCAGGCGAACCUGCCCUGCCGUUUACCCACUACUACAGGCAAAUUCAUGCAGAGCUCAACUCUGAAAUCCAAGUCAAGCCUCCAGUCCCCGAAAUCCCAGUCAAGCCUCCAGUCCCUGAAAUCCAAGUCAAGUCUCAAGUCCCUAAGGUCCAAGUCCAAGUCAAGUCUCAAGUCCCUGAGGUCCAAGUCAAGUCUCCAGUCCCUGAAAUCCAAGUCAAGUCUCAAGUCCCUAAGGUCCAAGUCAAGCCUCCAGUCAGUGAGGUCCAAGUCAAGCCUCCAGGCUCUGAAGUCCAAGUCAAGCCUCCAGUCUCUGAAGUCCAAGUCAAGUCUCAAGUCCCUGAAAUCCAAGUCCAAGUCAAGCCUCCAGGCUCUGAAGUCCAAGUCAAGCCUCCAGGCUCUGAAGUCCAAGCCAAGCCUCCAGGCUCUGACGUCCAGGCCAAGUCUCACGUCCCUGAGGUCCAAGUCAAGUCUCACGUCCCUGAGCUCAGGUUCAAGCCUGCUGAUCCAGUUGACCAAGCUCUGCUAAUAUCUAAGCCUAAUGACCAAGUUCUGCUCACCCCCCAGUCUGCUGACACGCCCAGCCAAGUUCUGCUCAUGCC